AAGUAGUUGAACCCAAUAGUCAGACGCCUUGUUAACUUAACUCAGAGGAGUUUAUUUAACAAAAACAGCAAAAGGGGACAAAAAAUCCUUUGUAUAGAGUUAGGUUGCAAAACAGAAAAAUCCUCAGACCAGAAAGGGUCAAAAAUAGUAAAAGUCUCCAAAACAAAAACUCAGAGAAAAACAGCAAAACUAUUCACAGGAAAACAAUUCAAAAAUACUUUCAAAGAAUAGAUCUUGGAACUUAGAGCAGACUUACGGCAGCAACUUGCUUAGGAACAAUAAUAACCAAGCAAAGAUGCAAAGGAAGUGAUCAGCUUAAAUAGACAGCCCAGAAUGAGAAACAUGUGAAAACAAUAACACUGAUUACGAAAGGCACAAUGUUGACGUGAGUGCAUACUGGGGACCUCUAGUGGCCAAAAUAACACAUUGCAAAACAAAGGCUCUGACAGGACCCCUCCCUCUAGGAACGGCUCCUGACGUUCCCUCCAGGACAACUGGGCUUGCGAGCGUAAAAUUCUUGCACUAGUUUGGGGUCUAAGAUGUCCUUGGCAGGAACCCAGGAGCGCUCCUCGGGACCAUAGCCUUCCCAGUCCACAAGAUACUGCCGGGACCCACGUACUUGACGGACAUCUAGUAUUCUGUGGACUGUGUAAGCUGGCUGGCCCCCGAUGAUACGAGGAGGAGGAGGUCUUCCUGUCGCAAGAAAAGGAGAAGACAAAACAGGUUUUAACAGGGAGACAUGAAAAGUUGGAUUAAUUUUCAAAGACUUAGGCAAGUACAAUUGAUAGGUAACUGGGUUCACUUUCCUGGCAAUCUUGAAGGGGCCGAUGAAUCUCUGGGAAAGUUUGCGGGAUUCCACCCGCAAGGGAAUGUUCUUAGUGGAGAGCCAGACUCUUUGGCCAGGGCGCAGAGUGGGGGCAGGUCUGCGUCUGCGAUUAGCCUGGCGCUGGUACUGCUGAGAGGCCCUAAGGAGCUUGAGUCUGGCUUUUUUCCAUGUCUGGCGGCAGCGUUUAACAAAUUGAUGAGCAGAGGGAACUGCAACCUCCACCUCUUGUUCAGGGAAUAGUGGAGGGGUGUACCCGAACUGGCACUCGAAAGGGGACAUGCCUGUUGCAGAGGAGCGAAGGGUAUUGUGUGCGUAUUCUGCCCACAUGAUGAAUGAAGACCAAGAGGAAGGAUUGUUAGCUGCCAUACAUCUCAGUGUAGUCUCAAGAUCUUGAUUAAGCCGCUCUGUUUGUCCAUUGGACUCUGGGUGAAACCCAGAAGACAGGCUCACUGUAGCCCCCAGAGAUUGACAAAAAGCCCGCCAGAAUCGGGAGGAAAACUGGGGUCCUCGAUCAGAGACGAUGUCUUGUGGAAUUCCAAAGACUCUGAACACAUGAUUUAUGACCAAUUCAGCAGUUUGUUUUGCGGUGGGUAGUUUAGGCAGAGGAAUAAAUCUGGCGGCCUUGGAAAAUCUAUCUACUAGGACCAUGAUAGUGGUGUUGCCUUGUGAUGGUGGAAGACCAGUGAUAAAAUCCAUGGAAAGAUGGGACCAAGGUCUAUGAGGUAUGGAGAGAGGGUGCAAUAGCCCUUGAGGAGAGCGGUGAGAGAUUUUAUUUUGGUUGCAUGUGGGACAUGCGUUCACAAACGCGGUCACAUCCUCCUUGAUAGUUGGCCACCAAAAUCGUCUUUGGAGGAACUCAAGAGUGCGUGAGGUACCAGGAUGACAAGUGAGAC
ensembl:lncRNA